CCUACGGGCGGCAGCAGUGAGGAAUAUUGGUCAAUGGACGAGAGUCUGAACCAGCCAAGUAGCGUGAAGGAUGACUGCCCUAUGGGUUGUAAACUUCUUUUAUAUGGGAAUAAAAUGUUCCACGUGUGGGAUUUUGUAUGUACCAUAUGAAUAAGGAUCGGCUAACUCCGUGCCAGCAGCCGCGGUAAUACGGAGGAUCCGAGAGUUAUCCGGAUUUAUUGGGUUUAAAGGGAGCGUAGGUGGAGUGUUAAGUCAGUUGUGAAAGUUUGCGGCUCAACCGUAAAAUUGCAGUUGAAACUGGCAGUCUUGAGUACAGUAGAGGUGGGCGGAAUUCGUGGUGUAGCGGUGAAAUGCUUAGAUAUCACGAAGAACUCCGAUUGCGAAGGCAGUUCACUGGACUGCAACUGACACUGAGGCUCGAAAGUGUGGGUAUCAAACAGGAUUAGAUACCCUUGUAGUC
rnacentral:rRNA from 1 species